UGGCAGUCACCCUAAAUCUUUCC
rnacentral:piRNA from 1 species